CAGCCAGGACAAGCUUGGGACUUAGGACCCGCUAGGGGAAGAAGCCAGACAAGUUAAAAAGAAGGCAAUCUGCCUGGCUUCUCCCAUCUUGCUUCUCUCCCUCCCUCCCUUCCUCCUCAGUCCCCAGGUCCCAGAGGCUUCACUGGGCUUCACGCCAGGUUCCAUUCUCGGGAGGCAGCGAGUGAUGUUUACCUUCUACCUUCUUUAGGAAGCUUUGAGCUUGGGCUCCCAAAGGCUCAAGCCCUUUGGCCUCUGGGCCUUAUGGCUCCUCACAGCACAGAGGGGUGGACUGGGAGCCCCAGUCUGAAAGAAUUACAUCUGGCAUUAGGCUGGAGAUGUGGCUGUUUCUGGAACUAGGUGGAGCAGAAAGCCUAUAUUAUUGUGACAAGAGCAUUUAAAAAUUCCAGGACGGGCUUCAAAACAAUACAAACCCUGUCUCAAAAAGAACCAAAAAAAAAAAA